rnacentral:lncRNA from 12 species
AUGGAAGCCUGGACUCUCCCCAUGGGGGCCCAGUCCCUCUCCAUGGGACCUGGACCCAGUAGCAGACCAGGGGCUCAGGAUCAGGCUGAGAGACUCCAGAAGUCACCUGCUGAAAGGCCACCUGGCUGCGCCUCUGUUAGAUCCAGAGACACGGUGGUGUCAGCUCCCCCGCCCCGGGCCUGGGCCAGGCGAUGCUUCUCAGCAGCAGAGGCUUCCAGCCAGGGCCUGGCACUGCGUCAUCUGGAAAGAAGCUUCCGUCUUGAUUUUAAAUGUCAUAAUCCUAUCUUGCAACUCAUGGUGGUAUCAAAAGAGGCAUCUUCAGAUCUGGUUCCAGCACCCAGGGCUCUGAGCACUGGGGAAGGGGAUGGAGUGGAGCAGGACCUCCUGGCCUCGGACUCCACACCUGUAAAACGGUGAGGUGAUAGUACCUGCCCCUUAAAAUUGUGGUCAGGAUGAAAUGGGGCCAUGUAUGGCUAGCACAGCGCCCGGCAGUGACAACUGGUCAAAAACAGCCUCUUUCCUAGCACCUGGAAGGAGGGAGGGAUGAUGAAUGAGGGAGUGAGUGAGUGAAUGAAUGUGUGAACGAGUGAGUGGGUGGGUGAACAAACAAAUGGAUAAUGGUCCUGCAGAUACUCAGCUAUCCUACAGGGUCUGAUAUCACUCCCUGAGGGGACCUGGACCCCCCCGGAAGCCUGUAUCCACCAGAGGCUCUGGCUCUCAUGGUCCUUUGCAGGUGCAGGCCCCUCUCCAGCCCUGAGUCCCCCCAUACUCUCAAACUC